GUGCUUGCUUUGGCAGCACAUAUACUAAGAAUUGGAAUGAAACAGAAGAGAGUAGCAUGGCCCCUACACAAGGAUGACACACAAAUUCAUGAAGCGUUUCAUAUUUUA
ensembl:snRNA U6 U6 spliceosomal RNA